AGUCACACUGAGGGUUCAGACACUGAGGAGUUCGGCAAACCACAAUGUCAUGGGCACAGAUGCAGUCCUGGCACGAAUCCGGCUUCCAGGAACUGUUAUUCUAUGGAUAAUCAGAAAGAGGAAGAAGACCCACUAAUAGGUGUAAAGGAGCUAAAGAUGUGACCAUUGUAAUAUCAGCAAAGGCCCACGGCAUCACAGGAAAUACAGGCACCGCUCAGCGAAAAAUCCUUGACGUGAUGCAAGACUGAGAACAUCAGAACUCCGGGCUGCUGUGGACGCCCAUGGAAAUGCUGACCAGGGCGAAUGAUUUCUAAUUAUAUUCCUCUACUUGCCGAUCAGCUCCAGGAUAAAUUUAAACGUGAUCUU